GACGAACCGUGCAAACGUUAUUCGGAAUCACUGGGCUUAAAGCGCGUGUAGGCGGACCCGCAAGUCGGACGUGAAAUCCCUGAGCUCAACUCAGGAACUGCAUCCGAAACUGCGGGUCUGGAGUGGUGGAGAGGGAAGCAGAAUUCCUGGUGUAGAGGUGAAAUUCGUAGAUAUCAGGAGGAACACCGGUGGCGAAGGCGGCUUCCUGGACACUUACUGACGCUGAGACGCGAAAGCGUGGGGAGCAAACAGG
rnacentral:rRNA from 1 species